UCUUGUGGCUUAGUGGUUAGAACGUGCGCCUUGAAUGCGAGAGGUCUAGGGUUCCAACCCCGGUCAAGUCAU